rnacentral:lncRNA from 1 species
CACUUUUUGACAAACCCUAGAUCAGUACGCCAGUUCUUCUUCUUCAUUAUUCGUCGCUGAUAUAUAAUCCAAAACUGAAAAAACUGAUCGGUUGCAUCAGGUAUGUUGGGAAGAAGAUAGAUAUGGCAACGAAUGAUGGCGAAGAGAUAAGCUGUGAUGGGUUGGGUUGCAUCAGCCUCCUUCGAAGUCAACAACAGUAAUUCAAGUUGCAAUACUUGCUGGUCAACGUGAUACGCCUCCUUUAGAGUCAACAGCAGCAGCCGGAGUUACAACUUCUGUAGGUUAACAUGGAACUUCUGCACUGUCUUAAUGCUCAAUAGGGUCAACGUCAAAUCAAAGUCGAUUGAAGUUGUGCAGUCAAAAAAUAGAGAUUACAAAAGAUUACCCUUACAGGUCUAAAAAAUAUGAGGAAAGAGUUGCAGAUUAAGAUGGCUAAACUAUCUGAUACCCAAUGUUAAACAUGGUCAAUUCACUGGUGAUGAAGACAAGAUGAUCUGCAGUUUGUAUGCUAAUUUUGGUAGCAGGUUCAGAUGGCUUUGAAUUCGGGUUGGUUUUGGGUUGCAGUAUGCAACCAUGCCGAAGCUCCACCAUGUGGAUGUAAUUAAAAAGAAUUAUUUUAGGCUGCUCUUUGUUCUACACAGCUUGAUCAUGUUUAUUGAAAGUUGGUGCCUUUGCAGUUCUACAUAGCUUGAUCAUUGUUCUACACGACUCUUCGUCAAUCCUAACGUGUACCCUCAAAAUCUAACAUCUGAAACCGGGGACCCCAAAACAAUCGGCCAAACAGUGAUGAUGAUGGUUAUGAAUGCAAACGGCAGCGGUAUCAAGGAGUUGUAGCGGCGACCGUCUAGGGGUUAAGCGUGUGGAGACACUGAUGACUGUAUUUCAACUUCUGAGGCUGAAGAAAUGACCGUAAAACUUGAGGAAUAUUAGAUUAAAAAUCUACCUAGACCUGGACAAGUGAAUUUUUAUCAAUGGAGGCCCCUAUAUGCUAGGUACUCAUUUCUUAUACAAAGCUCUCUUAACUUAUUAGAACUCAUAUACAAAUUAGGGGUGUUAAAUGGGUCAUGUUCAUGAUUUGACUUAUCAAAACCAACACGACAUGAACCCGUGAAAAUCGUUCUAAAGAUGACAUUCUUGUAUCUAAUGAAUGCCUCACAUAUGACCAAUAUGCAACAGUUAGCCAAAUUCAUAGAUAUUCAACAACUCUCCUACGGUUUCUUAAUAAUAUAUUGGACAAAUGCAGUGUAAUAUUGUAAAAGAAUUAUAACCUGAAUUUAGAGAGAAAUAAUAUUGUCUCAUAGUAUAUAAGUUAUAUUCUAACAAAGUUACGAAUUGCAAAAAAUUAUGUAGUAACUCUUACAUAAAGUUUACUAAUGCUUUAGCUUCAUUAGUGUUUGUUUAUAUUGAUUGAAUUGUUUCGGAGGUAAUGUGCUUUUUUACCCUUUUCAAAAUCUUUGACAAAUACUUAGUGAGUUAUUAUAACUACAAAAACAAUAUUAUUAACUUUCGAUAUGUUUUUUAUCGAAAAGUUUAUAGAUACUUAUAAUAUUUUGAAUUUUCGAACAACAAUUUUUUUCCACCUAAAUAUGACAUAACCUUGAAUCUUUAUGAUUGUUGCAUUUUCAUGGGACGUUGGGUGCAUUCCGCGUGAAAGAAGAUGACAAACGGUGUGACUCCUUUGUUGGUGCUCUCCUAAUAACGAUUGUUGACGACCAAUCCAUUAAUAGAGGUACUUGACACCUUUGCAGAGAUCCAAGACAGUCAUAUUGUCGUAAGAGAAGUGGAAAGGAAGCUUCUUGAGUUGCAACAAGUGUGUAUAUGUGUAUAUAAAAGGAUAAUGUUAACAGAAUACUUUAUUUAAUCCAUGAUUAUAAGUAUGUAUUAAUCAUAAAUAGUUUUUAACAAAACUAACUUUCACAAGGUAAACUAAUAAUAGAAACUUUUGUGG